rnacentral:rRNA from 1 species
GAUGAACGCUGGCGGCGUGCCUAACACAUGCAAGUCGAACGGAGAUUACGGACGGAAGUUUUCGGAUGGAAGCCUGUAAUUCUUAGUGGCGGACGGGUGAGUAACGCGUGGGCAACCUGCCCUAUACAGGGGGAUAGCAGCUGGAAACGGCUGGUAAGACCGCAUAAGUCGGUUAAAUCGCAUGAUUUGAUCGGGAAAUGAGCAAUCAGGUAUAGGAUGGGCCCGCGUCCGAUUAGCCAGCUGGCAGGGUAAAAGCCUACCAAAGCGACGAUCGGUAGCCGGACUGAGAGGUCAGACGGCAAAAUUGGGAAUGAGACACCGCCCAAACUCUUACGGAAGGCAGCAGUGGGAGAUAGAGCAGAAUAGAGGAAACUCUGAUGCAGCGACGCCGCGUGAGUGAAGAAGUAUUUCGGUAUGUAAAGCUCUAUCAGCAGGGAAGAUGAUGACGGUACCUGACUAAGAAGCCCAGGCUAACUACGUG